rnacentral:rRNA from 1 species
UACGUAGGGUGCAAGCGUUGUCCGGAUUUAUUGGGCGUAAAGAGCGUGUAGGCGGCCAGGUAGGUCUGCUGUGAAAACUCGAGGCUUAACCUCGAGCUGUCGGCGGAAACCAUCUGGCUAGAGUCCGGAAGAGGAGAAUGGAAUUCCCGGUGUAGCGGUGAAAUGCGCAGAUAUCGGGAAGAACACCCGUGGCGAAGGCGGUUAUCUGGGACGGUACUGACGCUGAGACGCGAAAGCGUGGGGAGCGAACAGG